UACAGAGGGUGCGAGCGUUGUCCGGAAUCACUGGGCGUAAAGGGCGCGUAGGCGGCCUGAUAAGUAGGGGGUGAAAUCCUGUGGCUCAACUGCAGGGCUGCCUCCUAGACUGUCGGGCUUGAGCACGGUAGAGGCAGAUGGAAUUCCCGGUGUAGCGGUGGAAUGCGUAGAGAUCGGGAAGAACAUCGGUGGCGAAGGCGGUCUGCUGGGCCGUUGCUGACGCUGAGGCGCGACAGCGUGGGGAGCAAACAGGAUUAGAUACCCUGGUAGUCCACGCCGUAAACGAUGGACACUAGGCGUCGGGGGGAGCGACCCUCUCGGUGCCGUCGCUAACGCAGUAAGUGUCCCGCCUGGGGAGUACGGCCGCAAGGCUGAA
rnacentral:rRNA from 1 species